rnacentral:rRNA from 1 species
UUGGUGGCGACCGGCGCACGGGUGAGUAACGCGUAUGCAACCCCCCUAUCAGAGGGGAAUAACCCGGCGAAAGUCGGACUAAUACUGCAUAAAACAGGGACACCGCAUGGUGAUAUUUGUUAAAGAAAUUCGCUGAUAGAUGGGCACGCGUUCCAUUAGGUAGUUGGUGAGGUAACGGCUCACCAAGCCGACGAUGGAUAGGGGAACUGAGAGGUUGGUCCCCCACACUGGUACUGAGACACGGACCAGACUCCUACGGGAGGCAGCAGUGAGGAAUAUUGGUCAAUGGGCGAGAGCCUGAACCAGCCAAGUCGCGUGAAGGAAGAAGGAUCUAUGGUUCGUAAACUUCUUUUGCAGGGGAAUAAAGUGCAGGACGUGUCCUGUUUUGUAUGUACCCUGAGAAUAAGGAUCGGCUAACUCCGUGCCAGCAGCCGCGGUAAUACGGAGGAUCCGAGCGUUAUCCGGAUUUAUUGGGUUUAAAGGGUGCGUAGGUGGUUUGAUAAGUCAGCGGUGAAAGUUUGCAGCUUAACUGUAAAAAUGCCGUUGAAACUGUCGGACUUGAGUGUAAAUGAGGUAGGCGGAAUGCGUGGUGUAGCGGUGAAAUGCUUAGAUAUCACGAAGAACUCCGAUUG